rnacentral:rRNA from 1 species
UACAGAGGGUGCAAGCGUUGGUCGGAAUUAUCGGGCGUAAAGCGCGCGUAGGCGGCUUUGCAAGUCGGGUGUGAAAGCCCUCAGCUCAACUGAGGAAGUGCGCCCGAAACUGCAGAGCUUGAGUGCCGGAGAGGGUGGCGGAAUUCCCCAAGUAGAGGUGAAAUUCGUAGAUAUGGGGAGGAACACCGGUGGCGAAGGCGGCCACCUGGACGGUAACUGACGCUGAGGCGCGAAAGCGUGGGGAGCAAACAGG